rnacentral:rRNA from 1 species
UGUGGCUGGGGGUGAAAGGCCAAUCAAACCGGGAGAUAGCUGGUUCUCCCCGAAAGCUAUUUAGGUAGCGCCUCGUGAAUUCAUCUCCGGGGGUAGAGCACUGUUUCGGCAAGGGGGUCAUCCCGACUUACCAACCCGAUGCAAACUGCGAAUACCGGAGAAUGUUAUCACGGGAGACACACGGCGGGUGCUAACGUCCGUCGUGAAGAGGGAAACAACCCAGACCGCCAGCUAAGGUCCCAAAGUCAUGGUUAAGUGGGAAACGAUGUGGGAAGGCCCAGACAGCCAGGAUGUUGGCUUAGAAGCAGCCAUCAUUUAAAGAAAGCGUAAUAGCUCACUGGUCGAGUCGGCCUGCGCGGAAGAUGUAACGGGGCUAAACCAUGCACCGAAGCUGCGGCAGCGACACUGUGUGUUGUUGGGUAGGGGAGCGUUCUGUAAGCCUGUGAAGGUGUGCUGUGAGGCAUGCUGGAGGUAUCAGAAGUGCGAAUGCUGACAUAAGUAACGAUAAAGCGGGUGAAAAGCCCGCUCGCCGGAAGACCAAGGGUUCCUGUCCAACGUUAAUCGGGGCAGGGUGAGUCGACCCCUAAGGCGAGGCCGAAAGGCGUAGUCGAUGGGAAACAGGUUAAUAUUCCUGUACUUGGUGUUACUGCGAAGGGGGGACGGAGAAGGCUAUGUUGGCCGGGCGACGGUUGUCCCGGUUUAAGCGUGUAGGCUGGUUUUCCAGGCAAAUCCGGAAAAUCAAGGCUGAGGCGUGAUGACGAGGCACUACGGUGCUGAAGCAACAAAUGCCCUGCUUCCAGGAAAAGCCUCUAAGCAUCAGGUAACAUCAAAUCGUACCCCAAACCGACACAGGUGGUCAGGUAGAGAAUACCAAGGCGCUUGAGAGAACUCGGGUGAAGGAACUAGGCAAAAUGGUGCCGUAACUUCGGGAGAAGGCACGCUGAUAUGUAGGUGAAGCGACUUGCUCGUGGAGCUGAAAUCAGUCGAAGAUACCAGCUGGCUGCAACUGUUUAUUAAAAACACAGCACUGUGCAAACACGAAAGUGGACGUAUACGGUGUGACGCCUGCCCGGUGCCGGAAGGUUAAUUGAUGGGGUUAGCGGUAACGCGAAGCUCUUGAUCGAAGCCCCGGUAAACGGCGGCCGUAACUAUAACGGUCCUAAGGUAGCGAAAUUCCUUGUCGGGUAAGUUCCGACCUGCACGAAUGGCGUAAUGAUGGCCAGGCUGUCUCCACCCGAGACUCAGUGAAAUUGAACUCGCUGUGAAGAUGCAGUGUACCCGCGGCAAGACGGAAAGACCCCGUGAACCUUUACUAUAGCUUGACACUGAACAUUGAGCCUUGAUGUGUAGGAUAGGUGGGAGGCUUUGAAGUGUGGACGCCAGUCUGCAUGGAGCCGACCUUGAAAUACCACCCUUUAAUGUUUGAUGUUCUAACGUUGACCCGUAAUCCGGGUUGCGGACAGUGUCUGGUGGGUAGUUUGACUGGGGCGGUCUCCUCCUAAAGAGUAACGGAGGAGCACGAAGGUUGGCUAAUCCUGGUCGGACAUCAGGAGGUUAGUGCAAUGGCAUAAGCCAGCUUGACUGCGAGCGUGACGGCGCGAGCAGGUGCGAAAGCAGGUCAUAGUGAUCCGGUGGUUCUGAAUGGAAGGGCCAUCGCUCAACGGAUAAAAGGUACUCCGGGGAUAACAGGCUGAUACCGCCCAAGAGUUCAUAUCGACGGCGGUGUUUGGCACCUCGAUGUCGGCUCAUCACAUCCUGGGGCUGAAGUAGGUCCCAAGGGUAUGGCUGUUCGCCAUUUAAAGUGGUACGCGAGCUGGGUUUAGAACGUCGUGAGACAGUUCGGUCCCUAUCUGCCGUGGGCGCUGGAGAACUGAGGGGGGCUGCUCCUAGUACGAGAGGACCGGAGUGGACGCAUCACUGGUGUUCGGGUUGUCAUGCCAAUGGCACUGCCCGGUAGCUAAAUGCGGAAGAGAUAAGUGCUGAAAGCAUCUAAGCACGAAACUUGCCCCGAGAUGAGUUCUCCCUGACUCCUUGAGAGUCCUGAAGGAACGUUGAAGACGACGACGUUGAUAGGCCGGGUGUGUAAGCGCAGCGAUGCGUUGAGCUAACCGGUACUAAUGAACCGUGAGGCUUAACC